rfam:Strongylocentrotus purpuratus Contig95184_fixed, whole genome shotgun sequence.
UGCAAAUGAUGUUUUUCUCAUGAUUGUGUACAUAGCCCUACUAUCAGGGUUUGCUGAAACUGUUUUAAAGAACUCUACUGAUGCAAUUAU